UACGUAGGGUGCAAGCGUUAAUCGGAAUUACUGGGCGUAAAGCGUGCGCAGGCGGUCUUGUAAGUCUGUCGUGAAAUCCCCGGGCUCAACCUGGGAAUGGCGAUGGAGACUGCAAGGCUGGAAUCUGGCAGAGGGGGGUAGAAUUCCACGUGUAGCAGUGAAAUGCGUAGAGAUGUGGAGGAACACCGAUGGCGAAGGCAGCCCCCUGGGCUAAGAUUGACGCUCAUGCACGAAAGCGUGGGGAGCAAACAGG
rnacentral:rRNA from 1 species